AGUCUCCCACCUCCCCCUCCAGGUCUCCUCCUUAAUGCUUCCCGGGGCCAGCAGCUCUCAGGUGGGACUCCUUACCCGGCUCUGCAGGUGUUGGCAAGCCUGGGGGGGGGGGGGUGUGACAUAUGGCUCACUUAAUUGACAGGGAUACAGGAGACAGCAAGCAGACCCGGGCCGGCUUCAGGGACAAGCGAUCUGGAGAACGUGGUUCCCUGUCAGGGACCCCAGGGGCUCACCAACACUGUGAGCCACCACACCCCUGCACUGCUCCUCCCCACCCCUGCUGCUGAGGGAGGUCAUGGGGAGGCGGUGACCUCAGGUUGACCCUUGAACUGGCCUCCAGUAAUGGGCGGCUCCUCCCCCCUCCUUCCCGUUUGGAACAUGCGCUCUCACCCCAUGAUGCUCCCGCAGUGGGAGCAUUUCCAAGGCUGCAGCCCUGAGAGGCAGUGAUCUCACGCGCUAAGGCCUCUCUGGAAACUCUGAAGAUCCUUCCGGCAGGUGGGAGACUCCAGGUCCUGUGGCCAAGACAAGCCUGAGUUACCUGAUGGUCCAAAGAAGAUCUCCAGCUAGAAAGAAAGGAGAGUGGGUCUUGUGUCUGCUUCUCUAGCUAAGACCUAGAAAGACUGUCUUACCUAAGUCACCUGCCAUUUCUUGACUGUGCAGGACAGUGAUGUCAGCUUCUGAGUUCCAUCUUUUUGGAGGAGCUCAGAGUCUACCCGCAGGAACAGAUGGGUGAACAGACCACUGUGAUGUCUGCUUGAUAACAAGCUUGCAAGAUUUAACCUUUCUGCGAAAUGUAAUCAUGGAAUCUUGGAAACCUCUUGGGCCUCCAGUUCUCACUCUUCAGAUACAGAGGAUGUGAGUUGCACCCUGAGCCCUCUCGCUCUCAGCUGAGUGAAGCGUGCUUCGCUAGGUUUACUUGCAACUGACAUGUUUUCUGGUGAAGAAAAUCGUGAUGGCAAAGUCUGUGCAGAGGCACGACACUGAAGAGUCUGAAAUGACACCCGAUUUUGAGAAGGAAAGAUCAGCACAUCCACUGCCACUGUUUUCCAGUCAACAUGGCAGACGGUAGCUGCCAGUCAGUCAUCAACUGUCAUAUCCACCCAACAAAGCAUCCCAGUUGGUUCAAGUCUUUUGGUCCCCAUCUCUGGCUGGCUGGAUCAGGAGUCCAUUCCUGGGUCAUCGACUGUGGGGCAUGGGGAGGAGGCCGGGCCAUGAUAUGUUUUUCCUGUGGCUCUUUUCACCGCAAUCGGUUGGACCAGGGGCCUGCGGAAGAGUGAGCAUUUAUGAGGAGGUCAGGACCACUGGUAUUACAAUUGGUAAUUCACUGUCCAUUGAGUCAACAACACUGGAAGAGGUGCUGAGUAACCAGAAAAAUAGGCAGCCAGACAGUCAUAACCAACACUGUUGGGAGAGAGGAGCAAUCCCACAGGUAAACUUGAGCCCCCUGCAGUGGUGAGCAGAGGGCUCUGAGCUUUAGUACCCAGGCGUUGCUGACUCUCCAGCAUUUAACAAAAUCCCAGUUGGGACUCUUAACUGAAAAUAUGUGGAAUGAAUACAUGAAUUAUUAGAAAGUGGAGAUACCUUGAGAUGGCUUUUAAAAGAAAGAACUUUAUAGAGGGGGAUGGUUAGUUUAUCUGAGAAGUGUUUCACUGGGGCUGAAUGUGGGCGGGGCCACCGUUUGUAACACUCUUGACCUUGACAGGAAAUAGGCCAGUUGUUCUAGUUGAGCAGCGGAGGAUGCCUAAAGCUUGAAUCAGCACCCAAACCCGCUCCAGGUGAAAAGGUGGGGUCUUUGAUUGUCAAAUUAGCAGACCCAUGUGGUAAGGAGGUUCAUUUCCUUCUCUGAGAUGCAUCCUCACUAUUCAGUUUCUUCUUUGGCUAAAUGUAUUCUCCCUGAAUCCAGUUUGGCUUGGUCAGAUUGAUGUAUUUUAUGUCACAUCAAUUGUUUGCAGUUAGAAUCUGGUGAUUCCUAGAAUUUCUGUGGGUAAACUUGCUUGCUUUAUCUAUUGAAAUUACUAUUUACUGCUUCAGAUGGCGUUGCCUUGGUGAGCAUUCAUGGGUAUUGCGUCCUUAGGGAGGUUUUAGAUUGUAACUAGGGACCAUUCUGAUUGCAAAAUAUACCACCAGAUAUCAAGGGCGUAGAACUAGCAGAAGGAAGACAGGGAUAAGAUUGUUUAUGUGAUACUCCCUGAGAUUCCAUUUUUUCCACUCACAGCUAUGCUUUGAUACAUGGUAGAAAUGGCAUUUCUCUCUUGCAAACCCUUUUAAAUUCUAGUUUGAGUUUUCACGCAUUUAAGAAAUGUACCUAGUAGAUACCAACCAUCAUCUAUUAUCCUGUGAUAUUCACCAUGGGGGGUUGGGAAGGAUUGAGAAUAUUAUUGUCUUCUCUUGGUAGAUGAGCAAGUGAAGGCUUGGGGAGAUUAAGUAACCUGUUCAAGACCACCAAGCUAAUACAAGGAAAUGGUGUUUUCUUGGUGACUACUUUCUCUAUGGUCUCUGGACUACCGUUGUCACUGAGUAGGCACCUUCUACCAGCCAAAUCCCAGAACCAGUCUCCUCCUAGAUCUUUCUCUUUGCUGAAUGGCCCCUUCCCUUUCUUCCUUAACUGUAACCUGGCUCUCCCCAGAGUUAAUUUCUCUGGCAUGGCUAUGUCCACAUGACUUCUCUUUCUCCCUAAAACAAUACAGAAGCAACUAGUCAAACAAACAAAAGACACUCUUUAGAACAGAUAACAUCGAUACAUACCCAUCUCAUGAAUUAAAUUAUUAAAUUAGUGUGAGUUACGUGCUUACCAGCGAUUACCACAACAGAGCUAUCAUCAGUAGUGUUAGAAUUAUUAUUGACCAUAUAUCUUAAAAGUGAUGUAACCUACAAGUCUGGUCAUAUCAAAAGAGCUGCAAUCCUCUUUGGAAAAUAAACAAAGCAGUUGCUUAAAUGCGCAUUGUACAUUUGGAGUAUUUCUUAUUCAGGCAAGCUGGUUUUAUAUUCAUGACAAGCAUUUUCAAUUUUAAUAUGUUUGCUUACAUGAGAUGCAGAUUGUAAUUUAAUGGCAGACUGUUUAAUUAUGCCUUCAUUUGUAUAAAUUGUAAUGUUGCUGCUGAAUAAAUGAAAUAAAAAUCUC